rnacentral:ribozyme from 1 species
GAUGGCCGCGGUGCCCUGCAAGGGGUGUCGAGGAAAGUCCGGACUCCACAAGACAACGGUGCCGGGUAACGCCCGGCCGGGGAAACCCGAGGGAAAGCGCCACAGAAAACAGACAGCCCCGGAGCAAUCCGUGGUCAAGGUGAAACGGUGGGGUAAGAGCCCACCGCGGGACGGGCAACCGGACCGGCACGGCAAGCCCCACCGGGAGCAAUGCCAAAUAGGGACCG